rnacentral:rRNA from 1 species
AUUGAACGCUGGCGGCAUGCCUUACACAUGCAAGUCGAACGGUAACAGCACUUCGGUGGCUGACGAGUGGCGAACGGGUGAGUAAUACAUCGGAACGUGCCCGAGAGUGGGGGAUAACGCAGCGAAAGCUGUGCUAAUACCGCAUACGAUCUACGGAUGAAAGCAGGGGACCGCAAGGCCUUGCGCUCAUGGAGCGGCCGAUGGCAGAUUAGGUAGUUGGUGGGAUAAAAGCUUACCAAGCCGACGAUCCGUAGCUGGUCUGAGAGGAUGAUCAGCCACACUGGAACUGAGACACGGUCCAGACUCCUACGGGAGGCAGCAGUAGGGAAUAUUGGACAAUGGGCGCAAGCCUGAUCCAGCCAUGCCGCGUGAGUGAAGAAGGCCCUCGGGUUGUAAAGCUCUUUUGUCCGGAAAGAAAAGCGCCGGGUUAAUACCCUAGUGUCCUGACGGUACCGGAAGAAUAAGCACCGGCUAACUUCGUGCC